GUGAAUCAUCGAAUUUUUGAACGCAAAUUGCACUCUCUGGUAUUCCGGAGAGUAUGCCUGUUUGAGGGUCAGUUUAAAUAAAAAUCGGUGUGGUUGCUGCCUGUCGUGGUGACGCACCGGAUUUGGGUCGUCUUGCCUUCAGUUAAGUUAACUAAAGUUUUGCACGAUUUUUUCGAACGAAUUUAAGUGAUUUUACGUACGUUUGCGAUAUCUAAUACGAGUUGUGGUCUUCUUCAUGCUUCUCAU
rnacentral:misc_RNA from 1 species